rnacentral:sRNA from 1 species
UGCGUCUCGGGGUGGUGACUGGGUCCAGAAUGGCUUCGGAUUCGGGGAACCAGGGGACCCUCUGCACGUUGGAGUUCGCGGUGCAGAUGACCUGUCAGAGCUGUGUGGACGCGGUGCGCAAAUCCCUGCAAGGGGUGGCAGGUGUCCCGGAUGUGGAGGUGCACUUGGAGGACCAGAUGGUCUUGGUACACACCACUCUGCCCAGCCAGGAGGUGCAGGCUCUCCUGGAAGGCACGGGGCGGCAGGCGGUACUCAAGGGCAUGGGCAGCGGCCAGUUGCGUGAGUGACCACUGUGGCCUUGGCCCCUCUGGGAGGGAGGUGGCUCAGAGCUGGUACAAAUCUAAUCAUAGGAUUCUCGGGCUCUGGGUUGGAGUGGCUUUGAGGAAGGUGUGAAAAUUAUGUGAGACUCCCUGCCCUUCCCGAGCUGCUGAAGAGGUGUGCUGGGUGAGGUGGCAAGCCAGCCCAAGUGUCUAAUACCUUGCAGAAAAUCUGGGGGCAGCAGUGGCCAUCCUGGGGGGGUCUGGCACCGUGCAGGGGGUGGUGCGCUUCCUGCAGCUGACCCCUGAGCGCUGCCUCAUCGAGGGAACUAUUGAUGGCCUGGAGCCUGGGCUGCAUGGACUCCACGUCCAUCAGUACGGGGACCUUACAAACAACUGCAACAGCUGUGGGAACCACUUUAACCCUGAUGGAGCAUCUCAUGGGGGCCCCCAGGACUCUGACCGGACAGGGCCAAGAGGACCUUGCCUGCCCAGUCCUUGGGGAGCUCAGAUCCUACGAGACUGGUACCCACAGGAGGAAAUGGGUACUUUAGGGAAGCAGGAAGAGGCAUCGGAAUCAGGAAAUCAGAAGAUAGCAGCUUGGCACCACG